GGAGAAGUGCGAGAGUGGUUGAAUCGGACGGUCUCGAAAACCGUUAUAGGAGCAAUCCUAUCGAGGGUUCGAAUCCCUCCUUCUCCGC
rnacentral:tRNA from 1 species